ncrna:unclassified sequences S15-Flavobacteria ribosomal protein leader
UAUAUUUGCUCCCUGUUUACGAUAAACGUAAUCAAUCGCAUAAAAAUUAUUUAAAUAAUAUUGGAAUG